rnacentral:rRNA from 1 species
GAUAUAUGCUUGAAACUUAAAGAAUUUGGCGGUAUUUUAAUCUUUUCAGAGGAACCUGUUCUAUAAUCGAUAUUCCACGUUAAAUUUUACUAAAUUAUUUGUAUACCGUUGUCGAAAAAAUAAAUUUUUUAAUAUUAAGAUUAUAAUAUAUGUCAAAUCAAGGUGCAGUUUAUAAUUUAGUAGAAAUGGGUUACAAUAAAUUUAUUUAGGAUUUAAAUGAAGGUGGAUUUGAAAGUAAAUUAAU